GAGCACAAACAGGCACUCAACUUAGCCCGCUGCCAGCUUCCUGCGAGUUGUUACAUUAACAAAGAAACGGCCUCCUCUGAGCUAUGGCCCAAGCAGAGCCCCAGACAACAUCCUCAUUUUCAAUAACUCUUCCCCUUUAUCUCACUCCGCCUGAUGCCUAAUAAGCUGAUUGCUAUUUACUUUGGGCCAACAGCUAAUCUGUUAAUGAUUGAUUUUAAAUUUUUACAGUCAUUUGUCUUUGGCAGGACCUGAGACUAAGGAAGGCAGUCCUUUCCUACCUGAUGAAUUGGCUUUUUCUUUAGGGGAGAGACCAACAAGGCAAAAAAAAGAAAGAAAGAUUUAAGUCAAAAGUCGUCAUGGUUACAUUGUGCUGAGGAGCAGUUGACACCCAAUGAGAAAUUUCAGUGCAGAAGCCGAAAAGGUAAACUCUUCCCCCGAAAGUCAGCUGCCUCGGAAUUGUCAGCAAACAACGCAAGUGGACAUCUUCCUAAUGGUGCCCCCGGGUAAAGACUGUCUUCAACAUGAGGAUGCAUGGCUUGCCUAAUACGAAGGAGUUUGGUGGAAUUCUGGAAUAAGUGAAGAAGGCUCUAUUGUUGGCCUCACCUGGCUUUUUGGAGACUUGAACUUUACAAAAGAAAGCCAGAAGCCGGAGAGACUAGGAGGAUUUGGCCUGACCACACUGCAGGUCCCAGGUGGCCAGGACACGCUGGUGAGCAGCCCAGCUGUCAUGGCCUAGAGAGAUGAAUAACAGCUCUCAAGGGCAUCCUUAGCCAAGCUCUGGCUCCCGGUCUGAUCUGCCCGAGAAGAAUGAGGGAAACAGGAUGGAAGUGAGCAUUGCUGACCCUCCGUUCCCCAUCACAGUGAAAUUAGAGCCCGACAGUAUGGAUGGGAGAUAAUGAAGCUUCUUUUGAAAACAAGAUGCCCUGUGAGGGAGCGGGGAGGGGUGCUUUGUGAAGUUUUCCAGCCUGGUUGGCAGAGAAGUAAAACCCUGUCGCUGAGGUCACACAUGUGCAUAAACAGCCUACGGGGGGAAAGGCAGAUAACAAACCGGAAACACAUGCAAUAAAGGAAAUGUCCAAAUUCAAACUCUUAAAUACAAGCGCUCAAUCUCAAAUAAAUAUUCAGGAGUCAGCAAGA